CUAGCCAUGUAUCCCCAAGAAGUUUCUCUUCUUUAUAUUGCUGUUCCCUCUUUUAACCGAUGUUGAUUCUGCAACUACAUUAAGGAAGAAAGAGUGGCUGUUUUUCAAGAAUCAAUAUACAAGAAGAGGGUUUGUGCUGCUCAGUGGUGGAGAUUUGGUGGGGGAGACAGAAGAAGAAGAAGAAAAAGAAGAAGAAGAAGGUGAUGAUUUAUGAUAAAAUGGAGGUAGCCAAAGGGAGGUAAAAAGCCUUCCUUUUUUUCAGUCUGCUUCUCUUAAUAAGCCAACAUGGCAUGCCAUGAAAUGAAAGCAAAAUCUAGGAAGAAGAAAAAAGAUCAAAUAUACGUUCUCUGGAAUAGAAGAUCAGAUAGAAGUGAUGAUGACCCUCUAGCCACGAUCAUCAUUUGAUAUAUGCCUCUCUCUCUCUCUCUCUC